AUCGCUCUGUAAUCCCAUGCAUUGAUAUGCAGCGUAGAGGAUCAAUCUUGUAUGCCCAAUCAACAACAGCAUAAAAAUCUUCUUGGAUUCCAUCAAGCAAAUCCUGAAGAGAUUCAUUCAGUGCAGCCAGAUCUGCAGAAUUUUUUCCAGCCUUGCUGUCAUUCUCAUCAAUGUCCAUAAUACCCAAAUCAUCAUCAUCAUCAUCAUUGACCUCGUCAUUGUAAUUUCCACUUCUAUUACCAUUAGCAACACCACCUGGGGGGACAAGUGCAGGAACUUCAAAGCACAUGAAGUGUGCAAAAAAAGAACUCUCAUCCACAAGUAGUGGGAUAAAAAUUGUCAGCAUUUUAGCAUAAGCAUCAGAAACUGAUGAUGUAUCUGCAGUAUGCGCAUUUUGAUUGGAGCCAGUGGAAGCUUCAAGCCAGACAGUUGGAUUUCUUGAUGUUUUUGUACUAGCACGAAGCUCAUUAGCAAACUCACGAGCCUCCCGGCGAAGAAGCAAGUUAAGGGAGCUACAAUAUGCUUUCCUCAAAGGCCCCAAGCAAUUCUUAUCAAGACUCUUUAAAUGUUGCAAUAAGCGAGCAUAUGUUCUGCAUUUGUACCGUA
rnacentral:misc_RNA from 1 species